rnacentral:rRNA from 1 species
ACUGGGUAUAAAGAGCGCGUAGGCGGCUGAUCAAGUCAGGUGUGAAAGCCCACGGCUUAACCGUGUGAAGUGCAUCUGAAACUGGUCGGCUUGAGUAUCGGAGAGGAAAGUGGAAUUCCCGGUGUAGAGGUGAAAUUCGUAGAUAUCGGGAGGAAUACCGGUGGCGAAGGCGACUUUCUGGACGAAUACUGACGCUGAGGCGCGAAAGCGUGGGGAGCAAACAGGAUUAGAUACCCUGGUAGUCCACAGCUGUAAACGAUGUGCACUAGAUGUGGGGAAGUGUUGACCUUUCCUGUGUCGCAGCUAACGCAUUAAGUGCACCGCCUGGGGAGUACGGCCGCAAGGUUAAAACUCAAAUGAAUUGACGG